UGAUAGAAACAACUGUUUAAGAUAAGUUGAUUAAAACUUAGCUAGCGUGCCUUAUUGAAUAAAAUCUAAACUAAAUUGAUUUUGAAAAUAAGAAAUUGAUUUAACCUUGAUAGAUCUUCCUAUUUCCUCAUAUGCUUGUCCUUGAACCAUCUUGUUUAAUGAAACUAUCUCUUUAGUUCAAGUGAUAUGUGCUUGCUUAUAUUUAGGCAAUCUCUUGAGUAAAGUGACUCAAUAUUCAACUAUUGUCAUAUCUUAUAUUGAGUCAUCUAGUUUUAAAAAAAAAUAUGUUGGAUGAAUGGUUUGUAUCUUGAAGAAACUAAUGACUUUCUUUCAAGAAAGAAAAGAAUUUUGUUAAUAAUGCAGGAUCCUUGAGCAAGAAAAUCUCAACUUGAAGGAUAUCUCCAUGUAAGAUACAACAAACAUUCACAUGCAAACAAGAGAGAGGACCUUCUUC
rnacentral:lncRNA from 1 species